GAGAGGUUAGCUCAGUUGGUAGAGCAUCGCCCUUUUAAGGCGCUGGUCCUGGGUUCGAAUCCCAGACCUCUCA
rnacentral:tRNA from 1 species